UCACCCACGGCAAGCAAUGGCAUUCUACACUCGCUGCCUGCAGGACCUCCCAAGAUUAACAAUCAGCGACGUCCUCCGGUUUAUACGGACUUUAUCUUCUGCUCCACGGAGUAAAAAAGAAAAAGGCUUUAAGUUUUACGUUUCAAACUACAUUGACAACUUUGAAGAUUACAUUUGAGGACUGUUCCCCGGUGGAGAUCACAGAAGUUGGGUGUUCCUGUGUGGCUGGUACAGUGCUGUGCAACCACGGUGUUGCAUUACUUUACCAAACUGCACACUACUGUGCUCUGAAUUUGACUUCAGUGCCACCAGUACUAAGCUGUACGGAAACUGAACAGAGCUGGCACAAACCAAGGACCAUGGGUGUGAAACUAGGCCGUGUGCGUGACAUGGUUUUUAAGUCUGCAAGACCAAAACAGCAGCGCACGGUCGGAAAUGGUGUAAGGAGCAAACGUUACAGGGCAGUGCGAGGUGACACACCAGACCCUGAUGUUCUCAGGGUAGCAGAGGUGUACCAGGACUUUCCAGCUGACCUUGCACCUCUCAUUACUACGAUGGCAAUUAGUGCUGAUGUGCCUUUAGUGGAUUCAGCCUUUGGUAAGGUACAGGAAGGCAGUCCAUUAGCUUUCCAGCAUCCACUACCGGUCAGCCGGAUAAUAAUUCGUCAUGUGGAUUCCCCUACACCGCUGUCACUGCCUCUUGACCACUAUAAUCUUGAGCCCACCUGUGUCCAGUUUGUCUGCAGCCAGCAG